rnacentral:rRNA from 1 species
UGGGGAAUAUUGCACAAUGGGCGCAAGCCUGAUGCAGCCAUGCCGCGUGUGUGAAGAAGGCCUUCGGGUUGUAAAGCACUUUCAGCGGGGAGGAAGGCGGUGAGGUUAAUAACCUCAUCGAUUGACGUUACCCGCAGAAGAAGCACCGGCUAACUCCGUGCCAGCAGCCGCGGUAAUACGGAGGGUGCAAGCGUUAAUCGGAAUUACUGGGCGUAAAGCGCACGCAGGCGGUCUGUCAAGUCGGAUGUGAAAUCCCCGGGCUUAACCUGGGAACUGCAUUCGAAACUGGCAGGCUAGAGUCUUGUAGAGGGGGGUAGAAUUCCAGGUGUAGCGGUGAAAUGCGUAGAGAUCUGGAGGAAUACCGGUGGCGAAGGCGGCCCCCUGGACAAAGACUGACGCUCAGGUGCGAAAGCGUGGGGAGCAAACAGG